AUGAAUUUGUUUGAACGAGACUUGCAGGUGUUCUCUUGGAAAACUUCAAAACUCAACAGGGCUGCGAGACAGGAGCAUUCUGCAAAUUUCAGCUGCUUCACUAGCUUCUCCUGUUUGUUGCUGAACCGAUUAUCCUGUUCUGCACUUGUUCCGCGGAAGAAUCCCGAGUCCCAUCUUCUGCCUCGCUCGGACCUGAUAUUUGUUCUUUAUUCUCCUAAAGCGGUAAUUGAUUUUAUAUUAUUAUUAAUUUUUUGGGGGGGGAGGUAAUGGAUUUUUGAGUGAUAAAGCAACCUUGCAUUCCUAAAAUGAACUCAACUUUUUCUUUUUUCCUUUUCUAAAAAAAUAUUGCUAGGUUAGGUUUUCUAAUGCUUUCUUUAAAAAUUUUUGCCUCCAUGUCUAUGAAGCACAUUUAUGUUUGAUUUACCUUUAUUACAAUGUUCUUGUCAAGUUUUACUAUCAAAAUUAUGCAGGUCUCAUAAAAUUAACUGAGAAUUGUUCUCACUUAAAAAAAAAAAGAUUUUAUUCAUUUAUUUAGGAGAGAGAGAGCACAGGGGCAGAGGCAGAGGCAGAGGGAGAAUCAGAGGGAGCCGGAUGUGUGACUGAGUCCCAGGACCCUGAGAUCAUGCCCAGAACUGAAGGCAGACACUUAACUGACAGGCCACCCAAGCACCUCGUUGCUUUUUUUUUUUUUUUUAAGAUUUUAUGUAUUUACUUUAGAGAAAGAGAGAGAGAGUGAGCAUGAGCUGGGAGAGGGGCAGAGGGAGAAAGAGAGAGAGAAUCUCAAGCAGACUUAAUGCUGAGCACAGAGCCCAACACUGGACUCCGUCUCACAACCCUGAGAUCGUAACCUGAGCCAAAAUCAAGAGUUGGGUGCUUAACAGACUGAGCCACCCAAGCAACCCUGUUCUCACUUUCCCUUUAUAGGAGUAAUUUGUGUAAGAUUGGCUAAUUGUAGAUACUUAGAAGGAUUUGCAAUUAAAGCCAUCUGCAUAAAAAGUUUUGUGUUUGGGGGACAAAUGUUUUUCAUGGUUUUUUAUUUCUCUAAUAUGCAGAAGAAUAUAUUUUUUCUGUUUCUUGUGUCAGUUUGGUUCAUAGUAUUUUAAAAAAUAUUUUAUUUAUUCAUGAGAGACAGACAGAGAGAGAGAGAGAGAGAGAAGAGAGCAGAGAUAUAGGCAGAGGGAAAAGCAGGCUCCAUGCAUGGAGUCCAACGCGGGACUCGAUUUCCAGUCUCCAGGAUCACACCCUGGGCCGAAGGCAGCGCCAAACC
rnacentral:lncRNA from 12 species